AAGCUACCUCAGUGAGUAGGAAGUUCAUUCUACAAGGGCGCAAGCAACAUCCAUAGCAUGCUUCAGUGACAUUUCCAUAUUGGACAUUUUCAGGGCUGCCGUGUGUUAUUGAUACAUACAUUCACAAACCAUUACACCAUAACUACAUCUUCCAGGGCGGAUGCAAGCUUUAGUACCAUGGGCCUGUAGUCCUUAUUUAGGUAGACUAUGAGCGCUACUUCCUGGUGAGGGAUACUGCUUGUGAGUCACC